rnacentral:rRNA from 1 species
UACGUAGGGUGCGAGCGUUAAUCGGAAUUACUGGGCGUAAAGCGUGCGCAGGCGGAUUGUUAAGCAAGAUGUGAAAGCCCCGGGCUUAACCUGGGAACUGCGUUGGAAACUGAAAGACUAGAGUGCGGCAGAGGGGGGUAGAAUUCCACGUGUAGCAGUGAAAUGCGUAGAUAUGUGGAGGAAUACCGAUGGCGAAGGCAGCCCCCUGGGUCGAUACUGACGCUCAUGCACGAAAGCGUGGGGAGCAAACAGG